rnacentral:rRNA from 1 species
UAGCAAGAAAAUUUUUUAAAUUAGAUUUCUAGAAACCUAAGGAGCUACCUUAGUUUUGGUUUAGCCUUAGACAGAGGUGGGUGUGGCAUAACCCUAUUUAAAAUUUAAGGUAGAAAUUAAAUGUUAUUCGUUUUAGGUGAUAGCUAGUUAUAAUAUAAAGAUAUACAAGUAUCGGAUAUAAUUUCAUUAUGUUUAUAUUGUGUAUAUAUAAUGACUUAUUUUCUUAGUUAUAUGAGGGUAAGCUCGUAUAAAUUUAUUUUAAUUAAAAUUUUAUAUAAAUCUAAGCUUGAGAUUAGCUACGAUGAAUUGGAAUUUGUUAAAAAUGCAUAUAUAUCAAAACUUUGCAAUAUAUUAAAUUUAUAUUAUUCAAUUAUAUAAUUAAAACAUUAUUGAUUUAUGCUAAAAUGAGUAUUAUUAUAAAUCAAAACAAAAAAUAAAAUAAAUUAAAUUUUUUUUAAAGAUUUUUUAUAAAUAUUAUGAAACAUAUCAUAGGAAUUCGGCAAAAAUUAGCUCCGCCUGUUUAGCAAAAACAUGUCUCUUUG